rnacentral:pre_miRNA from 1 species
GGGGACUUAGUCUGCUAUUACAAUUGUGUCAGAUUGGUCGAUCACUGAUCAGUGCGAGAGGGACGGAGCUAUGUAGGUUGUAUAGCUCCGUUCCUCUCGCACUGAUCAGUGAUCGAUCAUUCUGACACAAUUGUAAUAGCAGACUAAGGCCCC